UACGUAGGGUGCAAGCGUUGUCCGGAAUUAUUGGGCGUAAAGAGCUCGUAGGCGGUCUGUCGCGUCGGAUGUGAAAAUCAGGGCUCAACCCUGGACCUGCAUUCGAUACGGGCAGACUAGAGUUCGGCAGGGGAGACUGGAAUUCCUGGUGUAGCGGUGAAAUGCGCAGAUAUCAGGAGGAACACCGGUGGCGAAGGCGGGUCCUGGACAACUCCUGACACUGAGGAGCGAAAGCCAGGGGAGCAAACGGG
rnacentral:rRNA from 1 species